GAUGAACGCUGGCGGCGUGCCUAAUACAUGCAAGUCGAGCGAACAGACGAGGAGCUUGCUCCUCUGACGUUAGCGGCGGACGGGUGAGUAACACGUGGAUAACCUCCCUAUAAGACUGGGAUAACUUCGGGAAACCGGAGCUAAUACCGGAUAAUAUAUUGAACCGCAUGGUUCAAUAGUGAAAUACGGUUUUGCUGUCACUUCUAGAUGUAUCCGCGCCGCAUUAGCUAGUUGGUAAGGUAACGGCUUACCAAGGCAACGAUGCAUAGCCGACCUGAGAGGGGGAACGGCCACACUGGAACUGAGACACGGUACAGACUCCUACGGGAGGCAGCAGUAGGGAAUCGUCCGAAAAGGGCGAAAGCCUGACGGAGCAACGCCGCGUGAGUGAUGAAGGUCUGCGGAUCGUAAAACUCUGUUAUUAGGGAAGAACAAAUGUGUAAGUAACUAUGCACGUCUUGACGGUACCUAAUCAGAAAGCCACGGCUAACUACGUG
rnacentral:rRNA from 1 species